rnacentral:rRNA from 1 species
UCGGGACAGCGGCGAACGGGUUAGUAACGCGUGGGAACGUGCCCUUUAGUACGGAAUAGCCAUUGGAAACGAUGAUUAAUACCGUAUACGCCCCAAGGGGGAAAGAUUUAUCGCUAAAGGAUCGGCCCGCGUUAGAUUAGGUAGUUGGUAGGGUAAUGGCCUACCAAGCCGACGAUCUAUAGCUGGUUUGAGAGGAUGAUCAGCAACACUGGGACUGAGACACGGCCCAGACUUCUACGGAAGGCAGCAGUAGGGAAUCUUGGACAAUGGGCGAAAGCCUGAUCCAGCCAUGCCGCGUGAGUGAUGAAGGCCCUAGGGUUGUAAAGCUCUUUCGCCAGGGAAGAUAAUGACGGUACCUGGUAAAGAAACCCCGGCUAACUCCGUGCCAGCAGCCGCGGUAAUACGGAGGGGGUUAGCGUUGUUCGGAAUUACUGGGCGUAAAGCGCACGUAGGCGGAUUAAUAAGUCAGGGGUGAAAUCCCGAGGCUCAACCUCGGAACUGCCUUUGAUACUGUUAAUCUUGAGUUCGAGAGAGGUGAGUGGAAUUCCGAGUGUAGAGGUGAAAUUCGUAGAUAUUCGGAGGAACACCAGUGGCGAAGGCGGCUCACUGGCUCGAUACUGACGCUGAGGUGCGAAAGCGUGGGGAGCAA